UUACUGAGUUAAUAAUGAACAUUGUGAGCGGCUUCUUUAAUUCUCCGUUUUCCGACAACAGUACCAGCCUCCAGAAAGUGAAAAAAUGUCUCACCAAGGGAACUACUGUAUAAGUGGACCUGGAACUCACAUGUAACACUGAAAAUUUGAGUCAUUUGCUCCAAGCAAGAAGACUCAUAGUUAAUAUUGUCUGCUCUUCACUGAAAAUGAACUCAAACCAGAUCCACAUGACAUGGAAGAGACACUCUGUCAAUAGUUUUCUUACCUCGACCAAUGGCUCAAUAGUUCUGAGGGUACCACAAGGACAUGCCACUCUGGAGUCCUGUUGAUGUCUAAAGAUGGCACCAAUACACUAAAUGGAGACCAGUCUGAUCAAAUCCUUAUGAACAGAACAUCACUGGGAGAGUGCUAAUUUUAAAAAAAUUUAA